rnacentral:rRNA from 1 species
CCUACGGGGGGCAGCAGUGAGGAAUAUUGGUCAAUGGACGAGAGUCUGAACCAGCCAAGUAGCGUGAAGGAUGACUGCCCUAUGGGUUGUAAACUUCUUUUAUAUGGGAAUAAAAUGUUCCACGUGUGGGAUUUUGUAUGUACCAUAUGAAUAAGGAUCGGCUAACUCCGUGCCAGCAGCCGCGGUAAUACGGAGGAUCCGAGCGUUAUCCGGAUUUAUUGGGUUUAAAGGGAGCGUAGGUGGAUUGUUAAGUCAGUUGUGAAAGUUUGCGGCUAAACCGUAAAAUUGAAGUUGAAACUGGCAGUCUUGAGUACAGUAGAGGUGGGCGGAAUUCGUGGUGUAGCGGUGAAAUGCUUAGAUAUCACGAAGAACUCCGAUUGCGAAGGCAGUUCACUGGACUGCAACUGACACUGAGGCUCGAAAGUGUGGGUAUCAAACAGGAUUAGAUACCCGAGUAGUC